UCUUAUGGAUGAGUAAAGAAAGUGGUCUCUUGAGAUGGAAUCUUCUCCUGGUGAAGAUGCUGUGAA
rnacentral:pre_miRNA from 1 species